rnacentral:rRNA from 1 species
GAGUUUGAUCCUGGCUCAGGAUGAACGCUAGCGGCAGGCCUAACACAUGCAAGUCGAGGGGCAGCAUAGAAAUAGCUUGCUAUUUUGGUGGCGACCGGCGCACGGGUGCGUAACGCGUAUGCAACCUACCCUAUACUGGGGGAUAUCCCGGAGAAAUUCGGACUAAUACCCCAUGGUGUUAAUGAGUGGCAUCACUUAUUGAUUAAAGGUUACGGUAUAGGAUGGGCAUGCGUCCCAUUAGCUAGUUGGUGUGGUAACGGCACACCAAGGCUACGAUGGGUAGGGGGCCUGAGAGGGUGAUCCCCCACACUGGUACUGAGACACGGACCAGACUCCUACGGGAGGCAGCAGUGAGGAAUAUUGGUCAAUGGGCGCAAGCCUGAACCAGCCAUGCCGCGUGCAGGAAGACGGUCCUAUGGAUUGUAAACUGCUUUUAUUCGGGGAUAAACCUCUUUACGUGUAGAGAGCUGAAGGUACCGAAAGAAUAAGCACCGGCUAACUCCGUGCCAGCAGCCGCGGUAAUACGGAGGGUGCAAGCGUUAUCCGGAAUCAUUGGGUUUAAAGGGUCCGCAGGCGGGACUGUAAGUCAGUGGUGAAAUCCGGCAGCUCAACUGUCGCACUGCCAUUGAUACUGCAGUCCUUGAAUUUGAUUGGAGUGGGCGGAAUAUGUCAUGUAGCGGUGAAAUGCUUAGAUAUGACAUAGAACACCGAUAGCGAAGGCAGCUCACUAAGUCUGAAUUGACGCUCAUGGACGAAAGCGCGGGUAGCAAACAGGAUUAGAUACCCUGGUAGUCCGCGCC